UACGUAGGGCGCGAGCGUUGUCCGGAAUUAUUGGGCGUAAAGAGCUCGUAGGCGGCUUGGCACGUCGGGUGUGAAAGCCCGGGGCUUAACCCCGGGUCUGCAUUCGAUACGGGCUAGCUAGAGUGUGGUAGGGGAGAUCGGAAUUCCUGGUGUAGCGGUGAAAUGCGCAGAUAUCAGGAGGAACACCGGUGGCGAAGGCGGAUCUCUGGGCCAUUACUGACGCUGAGGAGCGAAAGCGUGGGGAGCGAACAGG
rnacentral:rRNA from 1 species